GCGUCCUUGGUGUACGGUAACACACAUCCUACUGGUGUCCACUAGGAACUAAAGUCUUUAGGAUGAGACCGGGGUUCAACUCCCCGAGGACGCG